GGAGGGAUGGCUGAGCGGUUUAAGGCACCUGGUUGCUAACUAGGCAAUUCGCAGGUUCGAAUCCUGCUCCCUCCGCCA
rnacentral:tRNA from 1 species